UUUUCAUUGUUUCUAGUUCUUUCUUUUGCUAGGCAGCACCGGGCUCGGGAAAUGGCUGAGAGUUUUAUUUAGAAGAUUACAUCAGUCAUGGUCCCUCGUUAAAACGGCAGAGAACAGCUCUACGUGAUCGAAGCAGAGAAGGAAUCCACGGCAAGAAGGCAGGAUCAAUCGUCUGAAUCAAACAUUCAGCCAGCACAGCGCCUGCAGAUUGGGGCUCCUUUAUUCAGUGUUACAAGGAGUCCUACAAGGCCCGGCUGAAAACUCAUUCCAAAUAUUGUUAUUGUUCCUUGUGGAAACAUCCUUCCUUUGGUUAGGUAUGGAGCCCAAACUCACAAGCCUGAGAUCCAGACCUGAGCUGAUAUCAAAAGUCCCACGCCCAACUGACUGAGCC
rnacentral:lncRNA from 1 species